rnacentral:rRNA from 1 species
UCCGUAGGCGGGUUUAUAAGUCAGUGGUGAAAGUUUGCGGCUCAACCGUAAAAUUGCCAUUGAUACUGUAGAUCUUGAAUUAGUGUGAAGUGGUUAGAAUGUGUAGUGUAGCGGUGAAAUGCAUAGAUAUUACACAGAAUACCAAUUGCGAAGGCAGAUCACUAACACUAUAUUGACGCUGAGGGACGAAAGCGUGGGGAGCGAACAGGAUUAGAUACCCUGGUAGUC